rnacentral:ncRNA from 2 species
AACGGAAUAAUAGAAGUUGGUACAAGUGUAUGGCACUUGUUUAAAAGGGAAGAACGGUGAAAGUCCGUCGCUGUCCCGCAACUGUAAGUAGGAGUGCUUUUCGAUAAACCACUGUCUUAUGAGAUGGGAAGGUGAAAAGUACGUUGAAUACGAGCCAGGAGACCUGCCAAUCUUCGAGUACAACC